rnacentral:rRNA from 1 species
GACGAACGCUGGCGGCGUGCCUAAUACAUGCAAGUAGAACGCUGAAGAGGGGAGCUUGCUCUUCUUGGAUGAGUUGCGAACGGGUGAGUAACGCGUAGGUAACCUGCCUUGUAGCGGGGGAUAACUAUUGGAAACGAUAGCUAAUACCGCAUAACAAUGGAUGACACAUGUCAUUUAUUUGAAAGGGGCAAUUGCUCCACUACAAGAUGGACCUGCGUUGUAUUAGCUAGUAGGUGAGGUAACGGCUCACCUAGGCGACGAUACAUAGCCGACCUGAGAGGGUGAUCGGCCACACUGGGACUGAGACACGGCCCAGACUCCUACGGGAGGCAGCAGUAGGGAAUCUUCGGCAAUGGGGGCAACCCUGACCGAGCAACGCCGCGUGAGUGAAGAAGGUUUUCGGAUCGUAAAGCUCUGUUGUAAGUCAAGAACGAGUGUGAGAGUGGAAAGUUCACACUGUGACGGUAGCUUACCAGAAAGGGACGGCUAACUACGUGCCAGCAGCCGCGGUAAUACGUAGGUCCCGAGCGUUGUCCGGAUUUAUUGGGCGUAAAGCGAGCGCAGGCGGUUUGAUAAGUCUGAAGUUAAAGGCUGUGGCUCAACCAUAGUUCGCUUUGGAAACUGUCAAACUUGAGUGCAGAAGGGGAGAGUGGAUUCCAUGUGUAGCGGUGAAAUGCGUAGAUAUAUGGAGGAACACCGGUGGCGAAAGCGGCUCUCUGGUCUGUAA